UGGUGACUCUCGACCAACUCCUCUCAGCUCUUUUUCGCCAGCAUCCACAGCCCUGCGCAGGGACAACGCUCCCAGGCUUUCCUGCUUAGGAGAACUGGCCUUUUUCACUCCUGGGACAGAGAUCAAAACCAACUUAAAGUCCAAGAAAGAAGAUUUACGUUCGAGAGGAUAACUGGCGUCAUCGUUUACUUUGGGAGGCUGCUUGACUCCCCUCCUCUGGUACCGAGGUCUUCCCCUGACGUGAGUCCCUCCAGGAAGAAGCCGUAUGGCAGAGACGGCGAUCAGGAGGAGAGGAACUCCGAGACUUCUGCCGACGGAAGAGCUCGAUAGCCAGCCUCUAAAUGCAGAAGAUCACACAAAACAUAAACGUUACCAACACAACGCAUGACAAAAUUAGAAGACAUUUACAGUGAGGUACAAAGGCAUUGAAAAUGCUUAAUUUUGUCCAUAAAGGUAAAAGCAAUCCAGGGAAGAGUCUCUAUUGGGGGUCAAAAACUACACAUGGAGGUUAUGUUAAAAUCUGACCUCUUUAAGGUUGUUGAUCUGUUGAAUGUAGCUGGAUUGUGCA